rnacentral:rRNA from 1 species
ACUUAAGGGUCAAGUAAAAAUAAAUAAGUUGUCUAGUUAAAUUGUGAUGAGUUCGCGGUGUGUCCUCACUUUACCAAAAGGUGAAAUUUAUUGGGUAAUGCGUUACGUGGGGUGUACCGAGAGUUUAUUCUUAUUGAGGCUAGGAAGGUUUGGGUAUGAACUAGGAUUAGACACCCUAUUACACCAAAAGUAAAUACAGAUGGCUAGAGUAGUAAAAAUUAAUUUGUUCAAAAUUCAAAGAAUUUGGCGGUAUUUUAGUCUAGUUAGAGGAACCUGUUUUAUAAACGAUAAUCCACGUAAAAUCUUUCUUGUUCUUGCUAAAAGUUAGUAUACCUUCAUUAUUAGAUAAUUUGUUGAUAAAAAUUGUUGGAAUUAAACAAGUUUAAGUAUAUUAGAUCACGGUGCUGCUUAUGAAUAAGUAAAAAUGGGUUACAAUGGAAAUUUAUCUAUGACGGAUAAAAAAGAGAAUCUCUUUUUCUGAAGGCGGAUUUAAUUGUAAUUUUAAGUUUAAUAAGCUUGAAUGAUAUUAGCUCUAAAAUGUGUACACAUCGCC